rnacentral:rRNA from 1 species
GAUGAACGCUGGCGGCGUGCCUAAUACAUGCAAGUCGAGCGAACAGACGAGGCGCUUGCUCCUCUGACGUUAGCGGCGGACGGGUGAGAAACACGUGUAUAACCUCCCUAUAAGUCUGGGAUAACUUCGGGAAACCGGAGCUAAUACCGGAUAAUAUAUUGAACCGCAUGGUUCAAUAGUGAAAGACGGUUUUGCUGUCACUUAUAGAUGGAUCCGCGCCGCUUUAGCUGGUUGUUAAGGUAACGGCUUACCAAGGCAACGAUGCGUAGCCGACCUGAGAGGGUGAUCGGCGGCAUUGGAGCUGAGACACGGACCAGACUCCUAAGGGAGGCAGCAGUAGGGAAUCUGCCGCAAUGGGGGAGAGCUUGACGGAGCAAGGCCGCGUGAGUGGUGAAGGUCUUCGGAGCGUAAAACUCUGUUAUUAGGGAAGAACAAAUGUGGAAGUAACUAUGCACGUAGUGACGGUACCUAAUCAGAAAGCAACGGCUAACUACGUG